AAGAGUAGUUCUCAUUCAUUGUUACAAUCUGAAGAUGUUUUAUCACAUAAUUAAUCAAAAAAGGUCUGAGUGGAGCCUGGCUGGGUGUUUUUUCCUCAUUCAGGUCGAUUAGUGGGCAGACGUGUGGAGCUGCUUAUAUGAGGACUGUAUUAAUGCUCAGCUGUGACUGUGGUUCUCUCCCAGACUGACCCUGCCUACAAAGGUGUUUGGACAAAUGUUUCCUCGGGGGUCCGGACACCAUUCAAACUUCCAGGAGGGAAGGGAGUGUGGGGAAUCUCUUUUUCCACCCAGAUGAAAAAGGGUGGAAGGUGUCAGAGGCUGGAUGAGAGGCUGUGGCUUUCCCUUGUCUUCACUCACAGCCCCACCUUUGGGCAGGGCUCUCAUUAACGCACCUGGUGGGCUCACCUAACAGCAGUCCAGAGAUCAUGAGCCAGUGUUAAAGUGUUGCUACGGAAACAUUUCCGGUCUGAACACUCGCCUCUCUGGAUGUUUGGAUCCUGGACACACGCUCAGUUUCACUCUGCCCUCCUGCCUCCCUCACCGGAGCGAUCGUGGCUCAAGAGUUGGGAGUUCGCCUUGUAAUCGGAAGGUUGCUGGUUCGAGCCCCGGCUCGGACAG